rnacentral:misc_RNA from 1 species
GGAGCAGACAAAUAUUCUCACUUUCUCUUUACUGUUUUUUAUACUUUUUCUAUGUAUGCCUGGUGGCAGAAAAGGAGUUCAAUUCUCUUUAUACUUUCCAUAAAAAGUUCUUUGACAUGUUGUAAUAUCAGAAUCAAAUUUAAGAAGAAUGAAUAUAGUAAUAUAUUCGA